AUACGUAGGUGGCAAGCGUUGUCCGGAUUUAUUGGGCGUAAAGCGAGCGCAGGCGGUUUCUUAAGUCUGAUGUGAAAGCCCCCGGCUCAACCGGGGAGGGUCAUUGGAAACUGGGAGACUUGAGUGCAGAAGAGGAGAGUGGAAUUCCAUGUGUAGCGGUGAAAUGCGUAGAUAUAUGGAGGAACACCAGUGGCGAAGGCGACUCUCUGGUCGGUAACUGACGCUGAGGCUCGAAAGCGUGGGGAGCAAACAGGAUUAGAUACCCUGGUAGUCCACGCCGUAAACGAUGAGUGCUAAGUGUUGGAGGGUUUCCGCCCUUCAGUGCUGCAGCUAACGCAUUAAGCACUCCGCCUGGGGAGUACGACCGCAAGGUUGAAACUCAAAGGAAUUGACGGGG
rnacentral:rRNA from 1 species